rnacentral:rRNA from 1 species
GAUGAACGCUGGCGGCGUGCCUAAUACAUGCAAGUCGAGCGAACAGACGAGGAGCUUGCUCCUCUGACGUUAGCGGCGGACGGGUGAGUAACACGUGGAUAACCUACCUAUAAGACUGGGAUAACUUCGGGAAACCGGAGCUAAUACCGGAUAAUAUAUUGAACCGCAUGGUUCAAUAGUGAAAGACGGUUUUGCUGUCACUUAUAGAUGGAUCCGCGCCGCAUUAGCUAGUUGGUAAGGUAACAGCUUACCAGGGGGACGAGGCGUAGCCGACCGGAGAGGGGGGUCGGCGACCCGGGAGCGGGACCGCGGACCAGGCUCCUGCGGGAGGGAGCAGUAGCGAAUCUGCCGCAAUGGGCGGAAGCCUGACGGAGCAGCGCGGCGUGAGAGAUGAAGGCCUUCGGUGCGGAAAACUGUGUUAUGGGGUAAAAACAAAUGUGGACGUAACUAUGCACGUAGUGACGGUACUUAAUCAGAAAGCCACGGCUAACUACGUG